AUUAACAGAAAUUUAACACUUUUUUCCUUUUCAACCAAGUACUAGCCAAGCAAUUUCAGCAAAACAUUAACAAACACGUUUUAGAACAAUGGCAGACAACUAGCAAAGAAUAGGUAAACUAUAAUGAAAAAUUGGCCAUCAAAUAUGGUGCUGCCAGGCACUUUCAGUUUUUGAUAAAUAAUAUGCCAUUACCCUGCGUGUGCCGCCUAAAGUUGGUACAGGUAUGCUGAUAGAGCAGAGAUAAGAUAGAAUUAGAUGAAAAGAAUUAUUGUAUUAAUUGAUAAGAAAACAGAAAAUGAUUCCAGAGCUAAUGCUCCUCAGUUAGAGAAAACAAUUCUCUUACUGCCCAACCUAUAAGGUGUAACUGAAAAAUGAAAAAACCAUCCAGCUAUCUCUGCACACACUCCCCUUUAUUAGUGGAAUAUUAAUUCCUAUUUAUUAGUG
rnacentral:lncRNA from 1 species